UUUGAAAUGAUGAUGAGAAGAGUAAUUAACAAUUUGAUUUCUCAGAGAACGUCGGAUGCUGAAAAGACGUAAUUGGAUUGCUAAUGAAGAUGAGCUCGGAGUUUAAAUACGUGAAAGCGAUAUUUACGUUUGGAUGCGUUACAAUCCCAGACUUAAUAGCAUUAUUUGUUAUUGAGUUGGUAAGAUGACUACUGUGAAGUAGUCAUAAACGAAGGUGGCAUCACGUAUUCAUACGUCCUUGUG
rnacentral:ncRNA from 1 species